UACGUAGGGUGCAAGCGUUGUCCGGAAUUAUUGGGCGUAAAGAGCUCGUAGGCGGUUUGUCGCGUCUGCUGUGAAAACUCGGGGCUUAACCCCGGGCCUGCAGUGGGUACGGGCAGACUAGAGUGCGGUAGGGGAGACUGGAAUUCCUGGUGUAGCGGUGAAAUGCGCAGAUAUCAGGAGGAACACCGAUGGCGAAGGCAGGUCUCUGGGCCACUACUGACGCUGAGAAGCGAAAGCAUGGGGAGCGAACAGG
rnacentral:rRNA from 1 species